AUUCCAUGGUAUGGAUAUUGUCUCAAUAAAUCUUUGAAUCACUCCUAAGCAUAAGCUAAAGACUCAUCCUCUCAUUGUUUAAAUGAUGUGAUUCAUUUCUCAUUUU